rnacentral:lncRNA from 1 species
AGAUUUUGUCAUCUGUAAAUAGAGACAGUUUUACAUUUUCCUUUAUAAUCUGAUGCCUUUUAUUUAUUUAUUUUUCUUUCUUUCUUUUUUUAUCUUUUUAUUAUACUUUAAAUUCUAGGGUACAUGUGCACAAUGUGCAGGUUUGUUACAUAUGUAUACUUGUGAGAUCUUGGUGUGCUGCACCCAUCCACUCGUCAGCACCCAUCAACUCGUCAUUUACAUCAGGUAUAACUCCCAAUGCAAUCCCUCCUCCCUCAUCCUCCCCCUUCCCCAUGAUAGGCCCCGAUGUGUGAUGUUCCCCUUCCCGAGUCCAAGUGAUCUCAUUGUUCAGUUCCCACCUAUGAGUGAGAACAUGUGGUGUUUGGUUUUUUGUUCUUGCGAUAGUUUGCUAAGAAUGAUGGUUUCCAGCUGCAUCCAUGUCCCUACUUUUAUGGCUGCAUAGUAUUCCAUGGUGUAUAUGUGCCACAUUUUCUUAAUCUAGUCUGUCACUGAUGGACAUUUGGGUUGAUUCCAAGUCUUUGCUAUUGUGAAUAGUGCCGCAAUAAACAUGCGUGUGCAUGUGUCUUUGUAGCAGCAUGAUUUAUAAUCCUUUGGGUAUAUACCCAGUAAUGGGAUGGCUGGGUCAUAUGGUACUUCUAGUUCUAGAUCCUUGAGGAAUCACCAUACUGUUUUCCAUAAUGGUUGAACUAGUUUACAAUCCCACCAACAGUGUAAAAGUGUUCCUAUUUCUCCACAUCCUCUCCAGCACCUGUUGUUUCCUGACUUUUUAAUGAUUGCCAUUCUAACUGGUGUGAGAUAGUAUCUCAUUGUGGUUUUGAUUUGCAUUUCUCUGAUGGCCAGUGAUGAUGAGCAUUUUUUCAUGUGUCUGUUGGCUGUAUGAAUGUCUUCUUUUGAGAAAAUGUCUGUACAUAUUCUUUGCCCACUUUUUGAUGGGGUUGUUUGUUUUUUUCUUGUAAAUUUGUUUGAGUUCUUUGUAAGUUCUGGAUAUUAGCCCUUGGUCUGAUGAGUAGAUUGCAAAAAUUUUCUCCCAUUCUGUAGGUUGCCUGUUCACUCUGAUGGUAGUUUCUUUUGCUGUGCAGAAGCUCUUUAGUUUAAUGAGAUCCCAUUUGUCAAUUUUGGCUUUUGUUGCCGUUGCUUUUGGUGUUUUAGACAUGAAGUCCUUGCCCAUGCCUAUGUCCUGAAUGGUAUUACCUAGGUUUUCUUCUAGGGUUUUUAUGGUAUUAGGUCUAACAUUUAAGUCUUUAAUCCAUCUUGAAUUAAUUUUCGUAUAAGGAGUAAGGAAAGGAUCCAGUUUCAGCUUUCUACGUAUGGCUAGCCAAUUUUCCCAGCACCAUUUAUUAAAUAGGGAAUCCUUUCCCCAUUUCUUGCUUUUGUCAGGUUUGUCAAAGAUCAGAUGGCUGUAGAUGUGUGGUAUUAUUUCUGAGGGCUCUGUUCUAUUCCAUUGGUCUAUAUGUCUGUUUUGGUACCAGUAUCAUGCUGUUUUGGUUACUGUAGCCUUGUAGUAGAGUUUGAAGUCAGGUAGUGUGAUGCCUCCAGCUUUGUUCUUUUGACUUAGGAUUGUCUUGGCAAUGUGGGCUCUUUUUUGGUUGCAUAUGAACUUUAAAGCAGUUUUUUCCAAUUCUGUGAAGAAACUCAUUGGUAGUUUGAUGGGGAUGGCAUUGAAUCUAUAAAUUACCUUGGGCAAUAUGGCAAUUUUCAUGAUAUUGAUUCUUCCUAUCCAUGAGCAUGGAAUGUUCUUCCAUUUGUUUGUGUCCUCUUUUAUUUCACUGAGCAGUGGUUUGUAGUUCUCCUUGAAGAGGUCCUUUACAUCCCUUGUAAGUUGGAUUCCUAGGUAUUUUAUUCUCUUUGAAGCAA